rnacentral:lncRNA from 12 species
AGAAAACUAAGAAAUUUUAAAUUAAAUGUACACAAACAGCUAUCACUCAGAAGAAUCAUCACAGAACUAACUAGUUAUAACAGCCAGCACAGCAUCGGGUCCUCUAAUUUAUGUGUUAAUGUGGUGCUCUGGAAGCUUGAUGUUAAAAUGAUGAAUAUCACCUGGGAAGAAGAUUGGACGAGAGCAAAAGAACUGGCAAGUUGCCUUGUGGAAAUAGCUUUCGACUUUAUCAAACCAUGGGGUAACAUGUCAGAUUAUAUUACGUAUAAUUAAUUAUUAAUGCAGGCCGGGCCUUAGUUUGAAAAGCACAAACAUGCACUUCGAAUAAUUUCCUUCCCAUGGAAAAUCUGUUGUGUCCCUCAAAUUGAGCAGCAAAAUACCCCUCACAAAAUACCUUAAAGCUUUCGUUUCUCCAGAUUUAGCAUGCAUCUGAGACAAGAAAGCUUUCACAAGCCUCCUUGCCAUGGACAAAACAGAGAUGUGUUUUUGCUUAAUUAAAAUUCUUUUUUGGCAACAGAUGUCCUUGCAAAAAUAGCUCAGAGCUCGGUGAAGCAUUUUUAUAGGCUGGAGUUCAGCGACUAGGAGCCCGUCAUCUGCCUUCUCCGCUCUGAGAGCAACACAAGAGACCAGGUGGCUGGUCACAGUUUGAAAAGUGAACAAAUGUAUUUAUUCACUCUGAGCAAUUUGCAACCCACUGGGAGAGCAGGAGCCCUCUCCCAGCCCUUAGCUCCUGAGAACUAGGACUGUGGGAGAAAGGGGCUGUUUAAUUGCUUGCACAGUCUCUCUCACUAAAGCAAUUAGCACCCAGAGGAAAGUCCGGGAGAAGAACACAGCCAGGCCUCACACCCAUAUGGUGGCCUGAAAUCAGCCUGCCUGCUGUCCAGGCACACGGAUGAUUCAAUCAGCGAUGCAGCCACAGGCCCCAGAGCUCUCCUUCCUAGUUUCUGCUGGGGAAAUCUUGUCUUCCUAUUCCUGAGCUUCGGAUAGGCUGACGAACUAGUGUAUAGUGGGUAGCAGCUCCUCAGCUUCACACCUAGUUAACUCUACUUGGAAAAAGAAAAAAAAAAAAAAAUUAAGCUUGAAAACUAAAAAAAGACCACCUAGAUCUGUGCUCAGGACUAAACGAUUGCUGCCUGGCAGGUGAGAAGUCAGACCAACAGUGGUCAGCUGGCCAAGUGUCUGAAUGGAAUCAGAACCUGGGUCUUAAAUAAAUCAGAAAGAGGACAUAGACUUUUAAAAAUA